rnacentral:tRNA from 1 species
GCCUUCGUGGUGUAGCGGUCAGCACGCUCGAUGCGUAACCGAGAGGUCCGUGGUUCGAUUCCCGGCGAAGGCG